rnacentral:lncRNA from 10 species
AGGAGAGGAACACUUCUUGCGGGAACAAUCAAAGCAAUCUUCAAGAAAGAAAGCAAUUUCUCUCCACCCUUGGAGGAAGAGUAAGAAUCCAAAAGGUGGAGAUGGAAAAGGGUACUCUAGGCACAGUGCAAGAUACACAGAAGCCCACAGAGAUAGCUGCAGAGGCCUGUGACAGACAGAGAAACCAAAAUAUCUUAAUAAAGACAGAGAGUCGUGCGUGUUGAGUCUGGGAUAAUGAAACCAAUGGAGGAAAAAGGCUACAAGGAUCCAGAGGCUUCUAUUUUUAAGCAGUGGGAAAAAAACACGUCUGAGACAAGAAGUACUUUGAAAGAAGACACAUAGUUUAUUCAGGAAAACUGCAGCUGAGCACGUGCAUACUGCCCAGAGGCUAUUAUAUCAGGAAGUCUUAGGAAAACUCCAGAGACAUUAUACCUUCUUCUAAUGUUUUUUUUUUUUCUUUUUUCUUUCUUUCUUUUUUUUUUUUUUUUUUUUUUUUCACAGAGUCUUUCUCUGUCACCAGCCUGGAGUGCAGUGGUGCGAUCUCGGCUCACACAACCUGCACCUCCCGGGUUCAAGCAAUUCUCCUGCCUCAGUCUCCAGAGUAGCUGGGACUAAAGGCACAUGCCAACAUGCCCAGCUAAUUUUUGUAUUUUUAGUAGAGACGGGGUUUCACCAUGUUGGCCAGAAUGGUCUCGAUCUCCCCACCUCGUGAUCCACCUGCCUCAGCCUCCCAAAGUGCUGGGAUUACAGGCAUGAGCCACCACGCCCGGCCACCUUAUUCUAAUGUUUUAUACUCUGCAGACAGGUUGGGUUCUCACAUUCCUCAUGCCAAACACCUAAUAACUUUAAUUGCAGUUGGAAAGGUGCAACUCAGUGCUCAAAAGCUGUGCCAUACCAGAAGCCGAGAUUUUCCAGAGAGGAACCGGCUGUGUUCCUGUUGAAUCCAGGUCCUGCCCUAUUGUAGUGGAAGCCUGGAACAGGAUGUCAUGGUCUCUAGAGAAUUAUCAUAAUGAUACAUGCCAUGGGCUCUGACUCCUCCAGCACAGGGCCCUGCUGGAGUUGGGAAAGUUUUGCCAUGCAGGUGCCUUUUGGUGAAACCUGAGUAGAGAAAGCUUGUGCUCACCAACAUCCAUGAAUGCCUCACUUUUUUGGCAUAAAGCUGGAUAUGAAGUUAGCUGGCCAGGAGGGUAAGUGUUGGCCAUUAGAAAAUGAGUGGAAGUGAUGUGUCAACUCUUGACCCAACCCUUACUUCCAACUGUGUGUCUCUCUGUUCUCCAUUGGCUAGUAGACUAGAGAGAACUCCUUGGACGCAGAGGAGAGUAGAACCUGGGCCACUAGAUGACCAGCUCUCCUUACCCCAUAUCUAACUAAGACACAAGAAGAAAAUAAAUUGUCUUGUGUAAAGUGUCUGAGAAUUCAGGGUUUUCAGUUGCAGCAGCCAAUGUCAUCUACCUUUAAUAAUACAGCCCCAAAUAGCAUUUUCUCUGGAGAGCCAUGGCCUCUCCAAGUUAGGUUUUUCUGACUAUGUGAUGGUUGCAUAUGAAACAACCUAGAUGUAAAUACUCUAAAAUUUAUGGAAAGCAAUUAUAUAUAUUCCAAAAAAUAUUUAUGUGUACAAAAGGAUUCUAAAUGAGGUUUCUUUAAAUAUUCUAUUCCCCAGGAAUCCUGAACUCAUUCACAGCUAUUUGAGACCACAACUAUUUUCUGGAGUGAAUUUUCUCUGUAGCUGAAAGACAUGACAAAUUUCUCCCAGGUAAAGAUGAAAGGAAGGAUGAAAGAAGAUAAAGAAGAAUCAAAAGGAGAUGGGAUAAAGAAGGAAGAAAGACAGGAGGAAGGAAGGAAGGAACAAAGGAAGGGGGGAGGGAGGGAGGGAAGGGAAGAAGGAAGGGAAGGAAGGAAGGAAGACAGGCAGGGAGGGAGGGAGGGAGGGAAGGAGGAAGGGAAAGAAAGGCAAUUUCCACAUGUUUUGAAAUAUGCCUAAGAAAAUGACUAAUAAAGUCGUUAAAUGAAUUUUUAAGUAAUUCAAGAACUCAAACUGCCAUGAUUUAUUAUGGUUUUUGAUUGAUUUUAAAGCUCAUAUAAAGCUCAUACUUGGCCUUAUUACUUCUCUUUAUGCAUCCCAUUCGUCUGACAAUACAGCUUUUUUUACACAGUAGCCUAUGUCGUAUAUUAUUAUAGCUUUGUUUCAUAUGGCUUUUAAAAGAUUUCGAGCCAUAGGCACUUUGGUGGAAAGAUGAUGGUCCAAAAACUAAAGGCCAUUAAAUCAUUAAAGAAGAGUCAUAUUUUAUUAAUUAAAUU